rnacentral:rRNA from 1 species
UGGGGAAUAUUGGACAAUGGGCGAAAGCCUGAUCCAGCCAUGCCGCGUGUGUGAAGAAGGUCUUCGGAUUGUAAAGCACUUUAAGUUGGGAGGAAGGGCAGUAAGCGAAUACCUUGCUGUUUUGACGUUACCGACAGAAUAAGCACCGGCUAACUCUGUGCCAGCAGCCGCGGUAAUACAGAGGGUGCAAGCGUUAAUCGGAUUUACUGGGCGUAAAGCGUGCGUAGGCGGCUAAUUGAGUCGGAUGUGAAAUCCCCGAGCUUAACUUGGGAAUUGCAUUCGAUUCUGGUUAGCUAGAGUGUGGGAGAGGAUGGUAGAAUUCCAGGUGUAGCGGUGAAAUGCGUAGAGAUCUGGAGGAAUACCGAUGGCGAAGGCAGCCAUCUGGCCUAACACUGACGCUGAGGUACGAAAGCAUGGGGAGCAAACAGG